GUGCCAGCAGCCGCGGUAAUACGGAGGGUGCAAGCGUUAUCCGGAUUUACUGGGUUUAAAGGGUGCGUAGGUGGGCAGGUAAGUCAGUGGUGAAAUCUCCGGGCUUAACCCGGAAACUGCCAUUGAUACUAUCUGUCUUGAAUAUCCUGGAGGUGAGCGGAAUAUGUCAUGUAGCGGUGAAAUGCUUAGAUAUGACAUAGAACACCAAUUGCGAAGGCAGCUCACUACGGGAUUAUUGACACUGAGGCACGAAAGCGUGGGGAUCAAACAGGAUUAGAAACCCGUGUAGUCC
rnacentral:rRNA from 1 species